AUUGAACGCUGGCGGCAGGCCUAACACAUGCAAGUCGAGCGCGCGGCGGACGGGUGAGUAAAGUCUGGGAAACUGCCUGAUGGAGGGGGAUAACCACUGGAAACGGUAGCUCAUACCGCAUACCAUCAGAUGUGCGCAGAUGGGAUUAGCUAGUAGGUGGGGUAACGGCUCACCUAGGCGACGAUCUCUAGCUGGUCUGAGAGGAUGACCAGCCACACUGGAACUGAGACACGGUCCAGACUCCUACGGGAGGCAGCAGUGGGGAAUAUUGCACAAUGGGCGCAAGCCUGAUGCAGCCAUGCCGCGUGUGUGAAGAAGGCCUUCGGGUUGUAAAGCACUUUCAGCGGGGAGGCGUUACCCGCAGAAGAAGCACCGGCUAACUCCGUGCCAGCAGCCGCGGUAAUAC
rnacentral:rRNA from 1 species